GUUUCACAAGAUUUUGGUAGGUAAAACUUGGCUCUUGAUUGAUAAUUUUUAAUUGUAAAAGUUUUUAAUAUUUUGGUAUAAAGGCGAGUGUCUUGAUUUAUCGUUUUAAAAUAAAUGUAUUUGAUCUUUUAAAAUGAUUGUUCCUUGGCACUUAGUUAAACCCUCAUUUGGCUUGGAGGAGCAAAAUAAAACUACUUUAGCCUAUCGAGUUGUCCCAUGUAAAUUGUUUGUUGGUGGAGAAAUAUGGGUGCCUUGGUUCAUGAUUUUAAAAGUUCAAGUCUUUUUUCGUUUGGUAUGAAAUAAUGCUUUUUCAGUGUCUCAUACUGGAAGUAUGUUAUUUUUGUAUUUGAGAAUGGGACAAUUUAUUAUUUGGAGGGAGAUAUCACUUGAUCCAUUAUUGCAAAGUAAAUUUGUUUUUUCUUUUCAACUUAAACGUUUUUUUGCAUCUAAGAAAGUGUUCCUCAAUUUCUUGGGUCGAAAUAAAACCGUUUUACUUCUUCGGACAACAUAUAUUAGCAGGUUUUUCUUCCCAAAAUUUGAUUUCUUUAGUUUAUUAUAUUGAAUAUAAAAGUUUCACAAGAUUUUGGUAGGUAAAACUUGACUCUUGAUUUAUAAUUUUUAAUUGUAAAAGUUUUUAAUAUUUCUGUAUAAGAGUAAGUGUCUUGAUUUUUUGUAUUAAAAUAAAUAUACUUGAUCUUUUAAAAUUAUUGUUCCCUGUCACUUAGUUAAACCCUCUUUGGCUUAGUGGAGCAAAAUAAAACUACUUUAGCCUAUUGGGUUGUCCUGUGUAAAUUGUUUGUUGGUCGAGAAAUAUAGGUGCCUUGGUUCAUGGUUUUAAAAGUUCAAGUCUCUUUUCGUUUGAUAUGAAAUAAUGCUUUUUCAAUGUCCCAUACUGGAAGUUUGUUACUUUUGUAUUUGAGAAUGGGACAAUUUAUUAUUUGGAGGGAGAUAUCACUUGAUCCAUUAUUGCAUAGUAAAUUGGUUUUUUCUUUUCAACUUAAACGUUUUUUUGCAUCUAAGAAAGUGUUCCUCAAUUUCUUGGGUCGAAAGAAAACCGUUCUACUUAUUCGGACAACAUAUAUUAGCAGGUUUUUCUUCUCAUAAUUGGAGUUCUUUGGUUUAUUAUUUUGAAUAUAAAAGUUUCACAAGAUUUUGGUAGGUAAAACUUGGCUCUUGAUUUAUAAUUUUUAAUUGUAAAAGUUUUUAAUAUUUUGAUAUAAAAGCGAGUGUCUUGAUUUAUCGUUUUAAAAUAAAUGUAUUUGAUCUUUUAAAAUGAUUGUUCCUUGGCACUUAGUUAAACCCUCAUUUGGCUUGGUGGAGCAAAAUAAAACUACUUUAGCCUAUCGAGUUGUCCCGUGUAAAUUGUUUGUUGGUCGAGAAAUAUGGGUGCCUUGGUUCAUGAUUUUAAAAGUUUAAGUCUUUUUUCGUUUGAUAUGAAAUAAUGCUUUUUCAGUGUCUCAUACUGGAAGUUUGUUACUUUCGUAUUUGAGAAUGGGUCAAUUUAUUAUUUGGUUGAAGAUAUCACUUGAUCCAUUAUUGCAAAAUAAAUUGGUUUUUUCCUUUCAACUUAAACGUAUUUUUGCAUCUAAGAAAGUGUUCCUCAAUUUCUUGGGUCGAAAUAAAACCGCUCUACUUCUUCGGACAACAUAUAUUAGCAGGUUUUUCUUCCCAAAAUUUAAGUUCUUUAGUUUAUUAUUUUGAAUAUAAAAGUUUCACAAGAUUUUGGUAGGUAAACCUUGGCUCUUGAUUUAUAAUUUUUAAUUGUAAAAGUUUUUAAUAUUUUGGUAUAAAAGCGAGUGUCUUGAUUUAUCGUUUCAAAAUAUGUACUUGAUGUUUUAAAAUUAUUGUUCCUUGGCACUUAGUUAAACCCUCUUUUGGCUUAGUUGAGCAAAAUAAAACUGCUUUAGUCUAUUGGGUUGUCACGUGUAAAUUGUUUGUUGGUCAAGAUAUGUGGGUGCCUUAGUUCAUUGUUUUAAAAGUUCAAGUCUCUUUUCGUUUGGUAUGAAAUAAUUCUUUUUC
rnacentral:lncRNA from 1 species